CUGACUGGUAGCAUCCCACUUCGAAGUUCAACCUCCAUUUGCAUUUCUUCAUAUUUUCUAAACAUUGCAAUUCAAAGUACAUUUCAAUCUGUAGUUUUCCUGUAAGAUUCCUCUAAAAAUUUCACAUUUUACCUUCGUAUGUAAACUCCCAAUUAACCAAUUACAGAUCUUCAGGUCAGUCUCCUGCUGUUUUUUUUCCCUGAAUUUCUUUAUUUUCGCGCUUACACCUGUUUCUCAAAUUGUGAUUAGCAUUCAUUUUUCUAGGGAAAUUGGUGUGAACUUCUGUAAUUAAGAUGUUUUUAGCGAUAUCCAUUUGAUCAAAUUGACAUUUUCCCAGGGUAACCUGUUGUUGAUUUUUUCUGGGAAUUUUUUGGUGAUCACAUUAUUUCUAGAGUUUGAUUAGUUAAAAUAGAGACUUUAGCGCUUUCAUAAUUUUAAAUUUAUGAUAAUUGGGCUAUAAGAGGGUUUUGGAAGAUGUUGGUAAUGCAGAAAAGGAAUUGUUCUUGGUCACUAAUUGCAGCUGUUGGGUUAGUGGUGUUGUUAGUCUCUCUAGUUCAAUUCUUUUGGUUACCUUGGAAACCUACACUAGACUUUUUUAGUAUAAAACAAGCUCAAACAACAUGUAUUCCAUUGAAUGAAUCAAGUAAAGGAACAGAAUCCUCCCUGCCGGGGCUCGACUUGGCUUGUCGAUUUCCGGUUGAUUUGCACAGUGCAGUUGUUUACCGUGGUGCUCCGUGGAAGGCUGAAAUUGGACGGUGGCUUUCUGGUUGUGAUUCAGUUGUUAAAGAAAUAAAUGUCACUGAGAAAAUCAGUGGGAAGGUCUGCAAAAAUGAUUGCAGCGGUCAAGGAGUUUGCAAUCAUGAACUUGGAGAGUGUCGAUGCUUUCAUGGAUACAGCGGUUCGUGUUAUUUUAUUUUCCGUAAAGGUGAACAAUGUUCAGAGACAUUGUAUCUGGCUUGCAACUAUCCUGUAAUGCCUGAUCUACCUUAUGGUCGAUUUGUUGUCUCAAUUUGCCCGGGUCAGUGCGAUACAACAAGAGCUAUGUGCUUUUGUGGAGAAGGUACGAAGUAUCCUUACCGUCCUGUGGCUGAGCAUUGUGGGUUCACGAUCAAUGCAAGUGCUACACCUCCAUCAACUGCCUGGGGAAAACCUGAUUUAGAUGUAUUUACAACAAAUAGUAGUCUGUCAGGCUGGUGCAAUGUGGACCCAGAAGAAGCAUAUGCUGGGAAGGCGAAAUUCAAAGAGGAAUGUCAUUGUAAAUAUGAUGGUCGCAUUGGGCAAUUUUGUGAAUAUCCUGUUAUAUCCACCUGCAUUAAUCAAUGUUCCAGCCAUGGCUAUUGCCGUGGUGGGUUUUGUCAGUGUCAUGAAGGCUGGUAUGGAGCUGAUUGCAGUAUCCCAUCAGUUUUCUCAUCUUUAAGAGAAUGGCCUCAGUGGCUACGUCCAUCUCAGAUUAAUAUGCCUGGUUAUGCAAAUGCCGCAGAAAGUAUUAAUGGUCUUGGUGCUGCAGUUACGAAGAGAAGGCCUCUGAUAUAUGUUUAUGAUUUGCCCCCAGAAUUCAAUAGUCUCCUCCUUGAGGGACGCCAUUUCAAGUUUGAGUGUGUAAACAGACUCUAUGGUGAAAAGAAUGCUACUGUCUGGACAGAACAACUUUAUGGUGCACAGAUGGCAAUCUACGAAAGCCUUCUAGCUAGUCCAUAUAGAACAUUAAAUGGUGAAGAAGCAGAUUUUUUCUUUGUGCCUAUCCUUGAUUCAUGCAUCAUUACUCGCUCUGAUGACGCUCCCCAUAUUAAUUUGCAGGAAUACAGGGGCAUUAGGAGCUCCUUUACUUUGGAUUUCUAUAAGAAGGCAUAUGAUCAUAUUGUGGAACAUUAUCCUUAUUGGGAACGUUCAUCAGGGAAAAAUCAUAUUUGGAUUUUAUCAUGGGAUGAAGGAGCUUGCUAUGCCCCUAAGGAGAUAUGGAACAGCGUGAUGUUUGUUCACUGGGGCAACACAAACUCAAAGCAUAAUCAUUCAACCACUGCCUACUGGGCAGACAACUGGGAUGGCAUUUCCCUUGCUAGAAGAGGCAACCACCCCUGCUUUGACCCUAGCAAAGAUCUUGUUCUCCCUGCUUGGAAACGGCCUGAUGGGAACUUUUUUCGGGCCAAACUUUGGGCAAGGCCUCGUGACCAGAGGAUGACACUUUUUUACUUUAAUGGGAAUCUGGGGUCAGCCUAUGAUAAUGGCCGCCCGGAAGCUACAUAUAGCAUGGGUAUUAGGCAAAAGCUAGCAGAAGAAUUUGGUUCAAGUCCUGAUAAAGAUGGGAAGCUGGGUAGGCAGCACCAGAAUGAUGUGCUUGUGUCACCAUUGCGCUCUGAAAAUUAUCAUGAAGAAUUGGCUAGUUCUAUUUUCUGCGGGGUUUUACCUGGAGAUGGUUGGAGUGGUAGAAUGGAAGAUAGCGUUCUCCAAGGUUGCAUUCCUGUGAUAAUUCAGCCAAAAGUAUGCACGUGUAGAGAAGAGAUUUUGAAAAGAGCCCUUCAAUACGAGGCAACAACCUCCGUCACCGCCAUCAUCACCCUUAAAAUCAGAUAUGAUUCUCUUUCUCUCAUCCUCAUCUACCAUCAGAAUACCAUACUGCUGCUAUAUAAACAGGCAUGGGUUCAAACUUUUUUCCACCAAACAACUCGAAUAAGGUAUGGGUCAUACCCAUGGGUUUGUUACCAGAGCCCACACUUAAUAAUUGUUAGUGCACCAUACAGGGCCUAGAUGGUUGUGCUCAAGUACUCUGGCCCAUGUCAUGUUAAGGUUCUAAGUUGUUAUUUUUCAGGAUAACUUAUAAAUGACUUCAAGAUGGGUAUGACUUAAAUGACUCAUACAGGGCCUAAAUGACUCAUACAGGAUAUCAUGUUAAGUACUCUGGAACCAUACAGGGCCUAAAUGACUUGUAAAUAUAUAUACUUUUUAUUUGAAAUCAUCAAAUAGAGUAUGUUAAAAUCCUAUAAUAUGUAAACAACAGUUUACUUUGUCCUUUGCAUAAAGUGCUUCUAUUUUAUAAAUAUAUCACAACGAGCAGACUGAUUUGACUACUCUUUUCUUUUAAAUUUUCCAUUUUCUAAUUGGAAAUUGCAUGGUUUGGCUUUUAAAAUCUUUUUGUUUCAUUUGUGUUUUGUUAAUUUUUUCGUCCUAAUAUGUUGCAUAGCUGGUAGCUCCCUUUUUUAUAAUUGUGAAAGCGGUGUAACAUAUGUUGGCCGUCAAUGCAUGUGUACAGUACCUGACUCAUGCUUGGCAUUCAAUACAUGCUGCUUGCGCUUCCAAUCAUCUGAGACCGUUUUCAGUCCACAAACUGGGUUAUCUGACUCCACUAACUUCAAGUUGUAUUUGUUCCUGAUGGUUUAGGAUGGCAUCUUUCUUCCGUUUGAGAAUUUCCUCAACUAUGAAAGUUUUUCUGUUCGGAUUGGUGAGGAUGAAAUUCCGAACUUGAUAAAGAUUCUCAGGGGGUUCAAUGAGACAGAGAUAGAGUUUAAGUUGGCCAAUUUGCAGAGAAU